UGGGGGAUAUUGCACAAUGGGCGAAAGCCUGAUGCAGCGACGCCGCGUGGGGGAUGAAGGCCUUCGGGUUGUAAACUUCUUUUGCUCUGAACAAGGCGCACCAUGGGGUGUGUUGAGUGUAGGGGUUGAUUGGCGCCGGCUAACUACGUGCCAGCAGCCGCGGUAAUACGUAGGGCGCGAGCGUUGUCCGGAAUUAUUGGGCGUAAAGGGCUUGUAGGUGGCUGGUUGCGUCUGUCGUGAAAGCUCAUGGCUUAACUGUGGGUUUGCGGUGGGUACGGGCUGGCUUGAGUGCAGUAGGGGAGGCUGGAAUUCCUGGUGUAGCGGUGGAAUGCGCAGAUAUCAGGAGGAAUACCGGUGGCGAAGGCGGGUCUCUGGGCUGUUACUGACACUGAGGAGCGAAAGCAUGGGGAGCGAACAGG
rnacentral:rRNA from 1 species